AAAGAUCUGGAGAGAAUGGACAUUUUUAUUAUUCUCUGUUAAGCAAGGCUGAUGUUCCUAUUUCUUCUCCAUCAGGAGCUGCUGUCCCUGGCAAAACGGAAGCGCAGUGACUCUGAGGAGAAGGAGCCCCCCGUGAGCCAGCCUGCAGCCUCGUCAGACUCAGAGACUUCGGACAGUGAUGACGAGUGGACAUUUGGGAGCAAUAAAAACAAGAAGAAAGGAAAAGCCAGAAAAAUAGAGAAGAAAGGAGCCAUGAAGAAGCAAGCCAACAAAACUGCCUCCUCAGGCAGUUCAGACAAAGACAGUUCAGCCGAGAGCUCAGCCCCUGAGGAAGGUGAAGUGUCAGAUUCUGACAGCAACAGCUCCUCGUCCAGCUCGGAUUCUGACUCCUCCUCAGAAGAUGAAGAGUUCCACGAUGGCUAUGGGGAGGACCUCAUGGGCGACGAAGAGGACAGGGCCCGUCUGGAGCAGAUGACAGAGAAGGAGCGAGAGCAGGAGCUGUUCAAUCGCAUAGAGAAGAGGGAGGUGCUGAAGAGAAGGUACGGUGGUCACUCUCCCUCGUGCAUCUCUGUCCCCUCUGCUUCCCUUGUUUUCAGGGCCUGCCUGCCCUGA
rnacentral:lncRNA from 1 species